GACAGAGGGUGCGAACGUUGCUCGGAAUUACUGGGCGUAAAGCGCGUGUAGGCGGACUGGUAAGUCGGACGUGAAAUCCCUGGGCUCAACCCAGGAACUGCAUCCGAAACUAUCAGUCUGGAGUGGUGGAGAGGAAAGCAGAAUUCCUGGUGUAGAGGUGAAAUUCGUAGAUAUCAGGAGGAACACCGGUGGCGAAGGCGGCUUUCUGGACAAUAACUGACGCUGAGACGCGAAAGCGUGGGGAGCAAACAGG
rnacentral:rRNA from 1 species